GGUACUUGAAGAGGGUGGCAUACCUGCCAAAAAAGUUGCCUUCCCUCUCCCCCCAUUCUAGAAAAAGCAAGCACACUUAUUUUUGGCUUCUGUCUAGUGGUUGACUGGUACUUUUCCUUUUCCUAGCCCCAUCUAAAGUUGUCACAACAUACGAGUUUUCAACCCUUUGAUGCUUUUGGGAGUACUCUUUUGGGCUCUUAAUUUAUAUCCUAGGAAAUCAACAAGUAGCUAUAGGAAAGGCCAUGAAAGUGCAGCUGUGCAUUUCUCCAGCUGGUUUCAGCUGAGGGGAGGCAUCUGUGUUUCUGGCCCAGUCAGAGGGAACAGGUGGAGCUCAUUACCCUGAUCAGAAGAUAUAAAGUUGGUGUCUGUUCAGGAAAGAAAUUAAUGUAAGCAAACCUGAAAGAGGGGGAAGAUUUAUAGAAACUCAUGUGUACAGGAGUACAGUAAAAUGCAACUUACAGUUUAUUGUGUGUUCGAUCUGAAGAAUGACAUGAAGAACAGCAAUAUGAAAAUAAGAAAAGUGGCUGAAUCCUGCAAUCCUUUUGUCUUUAGCAGAACUGCCCAUGCAAGGGGUUGCAAGAUCAGAACCCAAAAAUAUUUAUCUGGUAUUGAAAUGGCUCUUUUAUUGAAAUCAGUUCAGAUGCUCAUACUGUAGACUCAUGCAGCAAGGAAAUUAUUUAAAUGUUUGGAAGUCAACUGCCACCAAUUUCAUGCAACUGAGUUCCCAUUGUUUAGUUUCUCUACUUUAGUUUUGUCAA